rnacentral:rRNA from 1 species
UACGUAGGGUGCAAGCGUUAAUCGGAAUUACUGGGCGUAAAGCGUGCGCAGGCGGUUUGGCAAGAAGGAUGUGAAAUCCCAGGGCUUAACCUUGGAACUGCAUUCUUAACUGCCAGGCUAGAGUAUGUCAGAGGGGGGUAGAAUUCCACGUGUAGCAGUGAAAUGCGUAGAGAUGUGGAGGAAUACCGAUGGCGAAGGCAGCCCCCUGGGAUAAUACUGACGCUCAUGCACGAAAGCGUGGGGAGCAAACAGG